rnacentral:rRNA from 1 species
GUGGGGAAUUUUGGACAAUGGGCGCAAGCCUGAUCCAGCAAUGCCGCGUGCAGGAAGAAGGCCUUCGGGUUGUAAACUGCUUUUGUACGGAACGAAACGGUCCGGGUUAAUACCCUGGGCUAAUGACGGUACCGUAAGAAUAAGCACCGGCUAACUACGUGCCAGCAGCCGCGGUAAUACGUAGGGUGCGAGCGUUAAUCGGAAUUACUGGGCGUAAAGCGUGCGCAGGCGGUGCUGUAAGACAGGCGUGAAAUCCCCGGGCUCAACCUGGGAAUUGCGCUUGUGACUGCAGUGCUGGAGUGCGGCAGAGGGGGAUGGAAUUCCGCGUGUAGCAGUGAAAUGCGUAGAUAUGCGGAGGAACACCGAUGGCGAAGGCAAUCCCCUGGGCCUGCACUGACGCUCAUGCACGAAAGCGUGGGGAGCAAACAGGAUUAGAAACCCGGGUAGUCC